rnacentral:rRNA from 1 species
UACAGAGGUCCCAAGCGUUGUUCGGAUUCACUGGGCGUAAAGGGCGCGUAGGCGGCGGACACAGUCAGAUGUGAAAUUCCCGGGCUCAACCUGGGGGCUGCAUUUGAUACGUGUUUGCUUGAGUGGGGAAGAGGGUCGUGGAAUUCCCAGUGUAGAGGUGAAAUUCGUAGAUAUUGGGAAGAACACCGGUGGCGAAGGCGGCGACCUGGUCCUUGACUGACGCUGAGGCGCGAAAGCGUGGGGAGCAAACAGG